CACUACAAAGCAUCGGCUCUCAGAGCCGCAUCUUUUGCGCGUGACACAUCACUAGCUCCUGGCGAUAUGUUGACGUUUCGUGAAGCGAGUCGUUAGAUUUUUCAUUGAAAUUGAACGUAAUUUCUAAUAGUUUUAGCAACAAUGUGCAGCCUCUGCACACAAUCGCAAGCUUUUUAUUGUAGUGUUUGGUGGCGGAAGGCAUACCGGCGUCUGGUACGUUUAGCGCCACCUGCAGAAUGUAAGUGUUGAGGCUGUAAAGUAUGGCUAAUAUUAUUAAAAUGACGUUCAAAUUGAUGAAUAUAUCGAGCGAGUAACUUCACGAAACGUCAACAUGGAAACAGUAUUCCUUACGUCACUACCUAACAACCGAAUAGUUCCUGUUAACUAUCAUUAUCAGAAGAAAGGUACAAGAAGAGGUCGCUUGACUGACCUUGCUCGGUUAACCCCGCGUCAGAAAGAGUACUGAGCUCCCGUUGGCGUCCCAGAGGACAACUGCCCAGUUUCCACAAGAACAUCCGCCACGAGUUAAAGGCGUCUUCCUCGCCGAACUUGCUGGUAUCUGGGGUUCUAUAUUCUCGCCGCCGUGGACGGGGGCAUUCACCAGUUGGACUCUAGCUGUAUCAUUGACCGUACUCUUCAAAUAAUGCAUUCUUACCCCACACUUGGGUCUAUCUCGUGUUCUGUCAUGACAUGUAGUCUCCCAGUUUCUACAGUAUGCCACUGCCAUCAUCAUCAUCUUGUUUAUUCGACAUGUACACUAAUUUUAGUUCAGGGGUUUAUAUUCCAUGAUAUCAAAAUAUGUGUUGUACCUGUCGGACUCUGUGCAUUACAUAGGUAGGAAAUCAUGUUUCAUGUAGUCAAAUUUUUUUAAUGAAUAUAAAAAACUCUGAUGCUUAUUCUGACAAUUUACAGAAGCAUAUUUUUCAAACUUGUUAUAAACAAAUAUUGAUAACGUUUUACAAUAUCCUUUACAAUAGUUCUCAGUAGGCCUUUAUAUGUCAUAAACUAUAUAAAAGCAUGAUCAAAAUUAAAUAAUCACUAUAACAUCACAAUUUCUCCAUAUUGCCAUGUUUGAUUUGACUGGAUAAUGUGAUAUUUAAAAAAAAAAAUGUCAUGCCUGUGUUGCUACGGAAUGCA